rnacentral:lncRNA from 1 species
CCGGAGUUCCUGCCGCACCGUGUCGAGCUCUCCCUGAAGGGACGAGCUGGCAUCUUGGGCGGCCUUGAGCUGCCCCGCAAGCUCGCGCUCCCGGGAGCGGGCCUAGUCCUGCAGCUCCUUCUCCCAGUGCGCUGAGGCUUCGGCUGCUAUUACAGCCGCCGUCUCCAGCUCUCCGACCUCGCGGCGGAGGCGCUGGAUCACUAGGGAGUAGCCGGACAGUAAGUC